UUUUAUGAGAGUUUGAUCCUGGCUCAGGACGAACGCUGGCGGCGUGCCUAAUACAUGCAAGUCGAACGCUUCUUUUUCCACCGGAGCUUGCUCCACCGGAAAAAGAGGAGUGGCGAACGGGUGAGUAACACGUGGGUAACCUGCCCAUCAGAAGGGGAUAACACUUGGAAACAGGUGCUAAUACCGUAUAACA
rnacentral:rRNA from 1 species